rnacentral:lncRNA from 1 species
GUGUCAGUUGUUGAAAUGAAGACUGAAUAUGAUAUCUGGUUUCACACGUUUGUAUGAAGUUGUGGGUUUAAGAGGUCUGUUCUUUUUCAGGGAAGCAAACAUGAACGAUUCUGCUGCUUCUGAUGACGUCUGUCUGAUCCAGUCAUCCACAUCCAACAAGCCAAAAAUUACUGAUCUUUGGAAGCAUCUCAAGCAAAAAUGCUGGAGACACGGCAAGAAAGAGAAGGGCUGUGGCAACUAUGUCCAUAUAAUGGAAGCAAACAUGAACGAGUCUGCUGCUUCUGAUGAUGUCGGUCUGAUCCAGUCAUCCAAAUCCACCAAGCCAAAACAUCCUGAUCUUUGGAAGCAUCUCAAGCAAAAAUUCUGGAGACGUGGCAAGAAAGGGAAGGGCUGUGGCAACAAUUUCUAUAUCAUGGAAGCAAACAUGAACGAGUCUGCUGCUUCUGAUGACGUCGGUCUGAUCCAGUCAUCCACAUCCACCAAGCCAUAAAAUCCCGAUCUUUGGAAGCAUCUCGAGUAAAUUAAUUUAUUUUCCUCUUCUGAACUUUUAAAAACAUGUUUGUGGAUAUUUCUAUCUCAACAAAUGUACAAGAAAUUAACUUAAAAUCUUUUUUUUCAACUUAGACAAAAAUGCUGGAGACGUGGCAAGAAAGGGAAGGGCUGUGGCAACAAUGUCCAUAUCAUGUAAGGACGAGAAAAAAUCCCUUCGGAAUGUCGUGACAUGAAACGUUUAAGCAAUAGAAAUGGUGUUCCUUUCAGGAAAUUGAAGCUAUUCCUGUCGUUUCACAAUCACAUUUUGCUCCUUAAUUAUUUGG